rnacentral:rRNA from 1 species
AUUGAACGCUGGCGGCAGGCUUAACACACGCAAGUCGAGCGGAGCGAGGGUGCUUGCACCUUAGCUUAGCGGCGGACGGGUGAGUAAUGCUUAGGAAUCUGCCUAUUAGUGGGGGACGACAUUCCGAAAGGAAUGCUAAUACCGCAUACGCCCUACGGGGGAAAGCAGGGGAGCUUCGGGCCUUGCGCUAAUAUAUGAGCCUAAGUCGGAUUAGCUAGUUGGUGGGGUAAAGGCCUACCAAGGCGACGAUCUGUAGCGGGUCUGAGAGGAUGAUCCGCCACACUGGGACUGAGACACGGCCCAGACUCCUACGGGAGGCAGCAGUGGGGAAUAUUGGACAAUGGGCGGAAGCCUGAUCCAGCCAUGCCGCGUGUGUGAAGAAGGCCUUUUGGUUGUAAAGCACUUUAAGCGAGGAGGAGGCUACUUAGAUUAAUACUCUGGGAUAGUGGACGUUACUCGCAGAAUAAGCACCGGCUAACUCUGUGCCAGCCGCCGCGGUAAUAC